AUGAACGCUGGCGGCGUGCCUAAUACCUGCAAGUCGAGCGAACGGACGAGAAGCUUGCUUUUCUGAUGUUAGCGGCGGACGGGUGAGUAACCCGUGGAUAACCUACCUAUAAGACUGGGAUAACUUCGGGAAACCGGAGCUAAUACCGGAUAAUAUUUUGAACCGCAUGGUUCAAAAGUGAAAGACGGUCUUGCUGUCACUUAUAGAUGGAUCCGCGCUGCAUUAGCUAGUUGGUAAGGUAACGGCUUACCAAGGCAACGAUGCAUAGCCGACCUGAGAGGGUGAUCGGCCACACUGGAACUGAGACACGGUCCAGACUCCUACGGGAGGCAGCAGUAGGGAAUCUUCCGCAAUGGGCGAAAGCCUGACGGAGCAACGCCGCGUGAGUGAUGAAGGUCUUCGGAUCGUAAAACUCUGUUAUUAGGGAAGAACAUAUGUGUAAGUAACUGUGCACAUCUUGACGGUACCUAAUCAGAAAGCCACGGCUAACUACGUG
rnacentral:rRNA from 1 species